AUCUACUUUCCUUCCCUCUUUCAGACCUUUACACCCACUCCUCCCUUUCCUUCUCUUUCAGACCUUCACACCGACUCCUCCAUUUAUUUCGUUUUCCGAUCUGAGAAGUGUUGCCUGAGGAGGAUCCAACCAGAGGUGCUGCCUGAGGAGGAGCCGUCCUCGCUGCCAACCUCCGGAGUCCACUGACCACCAUCUACGAGAGGUGUUGCCUGAGGAAGAGUCGUCGUCGCUGCCGACCUCCGGAGUCCACCGCCACCGUCAGUCUCACAGUCCACAGACCACCCCCAAGCUCCAAGUCCACCGAGUAGUGCUACUGCCGGCCCAUCCACGAAUUUCCCUCUGUAAUCCAUCUCUCAUCGCGGCGGUUCAUUCAUCAUCGGUAUAUAGAGGGCAUCAUGCUUGGUGGUCUAGAGUUUUGGAAUACUAAUAAGUUGUAGAGGAAGCUCUAGAAAAAGAUUCACAGCAGCUUCUGCUAUGCUCUAACUCAAGCUUGGGCACCUGCAUCAAAGCAAAGCACACUUCGAGGUAGAAAAGGAGGAAUGUUGACCCAAAAUGUAAUGGCGGUUUGCUCGCAUGACAUGAUGUUUACAUUCGUGCAUGCGGGUUGAGAAGGAAGUGUGAAUGACUCUCGCAUAUUCUUAGAUGCAAUCUCAAAGCCUGGAAGUGAUUUUCCUAUGUCACCCGAAGGUUAUUACUACGUUGUUGAUGGUGGUUAUCCAAAUGCACCCGAUUUUUUAGCACCAUACGGUCCAUACCGCGGGGAGAGCUACCACUUGAAUGACUUUCGUGGGCAAGGACGGAUACGAAAUAAGCAAGCCCUAUUUAAUUAUCGACACUCAUCUUUGCGGAAUGUGAUUGAGCGGUGUUUUGGACUUUUAAAGGCAAGAUUCCCAAUUCUAAAGUCCAUUAAUGGUUACCCAUUGAUUAGGCAAAGACAAAUUCCUCUUGCAUGUUGUGCAUUACAUAAUUUCAUUCGGUUGGAAGAUAGGGAUGAUCAAUUAGGUAUGAUGUACGGAACGCAAGACAUGGUUUUGGAUGAUGGUGGAAGUAGUAGUGGUGGCGGCAAUGAUACCAUACAAUUAGAUAUGAGUCAACAAGACCAAAUGCUACAAUUGCGUGAGGACAUCACAAAUGCACUCUGGGCAAAUUAUAAUCAUUGAUGGUGUAAUCAAUUUUAUUUGUAAUGUUUUGUAAUCACAUCUCGUCACGAACAACUUAUUUUAAA